AGGGGUAUAGCUCAGCCGGUAGAGCAGCGGUCUCCAAAACCGCGUGUCCUGGGUUCGAUCCCUAGUGCCCCUGCCA
rnacentral:tRNA from 1 species